rnacentral:tRNA from 1 species
UCUUCGAUGACCGAGGGAAGGUGAAAGAUUUUUAAUCUUUUAACAGAAUUUUUUUCUUCGAAGAA